GAACUAUAGAGUUUGAUCCUGGCUCAGAUUGAACGCUGGCGGCAUGCCUUACACAUGCAAGUCGAACGGCAGCACGGGAGCAAUCCUGGUGGCGAGUGGCGAACGGGUGAGUAAUAUAUCGGAACGUGCCCAG
rnacentral:rRNA from 1 species